rnacentral:rRNA from 1 species
UAAGACAGAGGGUGCAAACGUUGCUCGGAAUUACUGGGCGUAAAGCGCGUGUAGGCGGACCGGAAAGUCGGGCGUGAAAUCCCUGGGCUCAACCCAGGAACUGCACUCGAAACUUCCGGCCUUGAGUGGUGGAGAGGGUAGUGGAAUUCCUGGUGUAGAGGUGAAAUUCGUAGAUAUCAGGAGGAACACCGGUGGCGAAGGCGGCUACCUGGACACUAACUGACGCUGAGACGCGAAAGCGUGGGGAGCAAACAGGAUUAGAUACCCUGGUAGUCCACGCUGUAAACGAUGGGCACUAGGUGUCGCGGGUAUUGACCCCUGCGGUGCCGUAGCAAACGCGUUAAGUGCCCCGCCUGGGGAGUACGGCCGCAAGGCUA